rnacentral:rRNA from 1 species
GUGGGGAAUAUUGGACAAUGGGGGGAACCCUGAUCCAGCCAUGCCGCGUGUGUGAAGAAGGCCUUUUGGUUGUAAAGCACUUUAAGCGAGGAGGAGGCUACCGAGAUUAAUACUCUUGGAUAGUGGACGUUACUCGCAGAAUAAGCACCGGCUAACUCUGUGCCAGCAGCAGCGGUAAUACAGAGGGUGCAAGCGUUAAUCGGAUUUACUGGGCGUACAGCGCGCGUAGGUGGCCAAUUAAGUCAAAUGUGAAAUCCCCGAGCUUAACUUGGGAAUUGCAGUCGAUACUGGUUGGCUAGAGUAUGGGAGAGGAUGGUAGAAUUCCAGGUGUAGCGGUGAAAUGCGUAGAGAUCUGGAGGAAUACCGAUGGCGAAGGCAGCCAUCUGGCCUAAUACUGACACUGAGGUGCGAAAGCAUGGGGAGCAAACAGGAUUAGAUACCCUAGUAGUCC